CGAACUUGGAUCCUUCCACUUUCAAGGGACAGGGACGGCCCCAGCACCAGGCAGCUGCAUCCUGGUCCGUCUUGGGCACACCUGCCCGUUCGACCGGGAUCUGGAGCCAGCCCCAAGUACUGACAGGCAGGCGGCUGGGCACCCUGGAUCACAGGGACCUGAUGAGGACAAGAGGCAGAACUUGAAGCACUGAUCCACUUGUCUGAGCCCUCAGAUGGAGACCAGAGAGAUUGGGCUGGGCAUGGCCGAGAUCCCAUUGCCCACCUCUGUAGCCUCCACCCCAGCCCUGACAUCAGGCAGAAUCUGCAGAGACCAAGGAGGUAUCUUUCUCUUCCAUCUCUCUCUGCUUCUGGUUUGCCAUGCCAUGAGCAGCUGUCCUCUCACCAUGCAUUGCUGCAUUUAAACCUACUGACCAUGGACUGAAACUUCUGAAACUUAUUUUCAGUGGUUGGCUGAAUCACGAAGGCAGAAGCCACAUACGGAAGGCUGAUUAUAUCAACAAGAAAGGAAUGAACUAAAAGGACACUGGGUAGCUCUUGAAUGGCCAGCAAGACCAGGAGCUGGGACUGCUCAAUGGAAAGCUGCAAAAGGAGAAUACACAGCCAGAGCCCCAGGCCCUGGACUAAGCAUUUAAGAUUCAGCGAUGAGUUGGACAAUAUCUCUGCCCUCAGAAAAAGCCUGGUCUAGUGAGGAACUAGAACAUGACCCAAAAAUUACAAGAGUGCCCAGCACUAGGACACAGUUAUUUGUGUAUUUUGAAUAUUGGUUGAAUGAAGAAAGAAAAAGAUAAAUGGCUGUUGAGUAUAAGGAGGAGGCAAUCCGUGAGGGCUGCACGAAGGCCACAUGGAAAAGCACUGCUGUCACCACCUCGCCAGGCCCUUCCAGACCAAGGCCUAUGCCAAGCCCAAGAGAGACAGCCUUGCCACACAGAGGAAGCAAACCUGGCAGGAGUUAGAAGAGC
rnacentral:lncRNA from 1 species